UACGUAGGGUGCAAGCGUUGUCCGGAAUUAUUGGGCGUAAAGAGCUCGUAGGCGGUCUGUCGCGUCUGCUGUGAAAACUCAGGGCUUAACCCUGAGCUUGCAGUGGGUACGGGCAGACUAGAGUGCGGUAGGGGAGACUGGAAUUCCUGGUGUAGCGGUGAAAUGCGCAGAUAUCAGGAGGAACACCGGUGGCGAAGGCGGGUCUCUGGGCCGUAACUGACGCUGGAGGAGCGAAAGCAUGGGGAGCGAACGGG
rnacentral:rRNA from 1 species